rnacentral:rRNA from 1 species
CCUACGGGCGGCAGCAGUGGGGGAUAUUGCACAAUGGGGGGAACCCUGAUGCAGCGACGCCGCGUGAGCGAUGAAGUAUUUCGGUAUGUAAAGCUCUAUCAGCAGGGAAGAAAAUGACGGUACCUGACUAAGAAGCCCCGGCUAACUACGUGCCAGCAGCCGCGGUAAUACGUAGGGGGCAAGCGUGAUCCGGAUUUACGGGGUGGAAAGGGAGCGUAGACGGCUGGGCAAGUCUGAAGUGAAAGGCAAGGGCCCAACCUUUGGAGUGCUUUGGAAACUGUGCAGGUAGAGUGUCGGAGAGGCAAGUGGAAUUCCAGGUGUAGCGGUGAAAUGCGUAGAUAUUAGGAGGAACACCAGUGGCGAAGGCGGCUUGCUGGACGAUGACUGACGUUGAGGCUCGAAAGCGUGGGGAGCAAACAGGAUUAGAUACCCUUGUAGUC